AAACUUUACAUAUAUCUCUAUCAAAGGUUAUUAUCUCACUGAACAGCUGAUUAUAUGUUUACAUGUUAUAUUGAUGACGUCAUACACAUCAACCUGUUUUUACAAUUUGAUAUUGUAAUACUUCAGUGUACAGUGACCUACUUUACUGAAUGGGGCUGAAGGCUUAACUGUAAUUUUAUUAUAAGGUUACAGGCUAUUUUAAGUAAUUAUUUAUCUAGUAUGAUAUUGAGACUUUUGAUUUAGACCAGCCUCACCUACUUUAUAAAUUUAUAUAAGCAGAAAUUCUUGUUUAAUCACUAGAAACAGCUGACUUCCUGGUUUUGCAGACAUGUUUUUGUUGUUGUACUUGCAAUGCAUUGUGGGUAGUUGCUUAGCAACUACUGCCUAUACUUUGUUUACAUUGUUUAGACAUAGUACUAGAGCCGAUUUCGCAAUCGAAUACCGCCGGAAGUAGAACAUUUAUGUCAACACCGGUUUCGUAUUUUCACGUGAAAACGGCCGAAAACUGAGAGGUUAUCAACAAAUUAUAAGUUUACGGGUUCCAUGAGGAUUUUUCAUGCAUUUAAACGAAGUACAAGUGAACAGAUGACAUAUUAAAGUGGCUGCAGAAGCUUGAAAAGUUAGAUGGAGCAGGGGCAGUCAAAACAGUGAGUGGGAUAAUACUUCUAUGGUGUCCAAAAUGUCUAGUCAGGUUGACAGAAGUGAAAGAUGGUCUGAUGGUACAAUGAUGUACAAAUGAUACUCUUUAACAAGUUUAAGAUGUCAAGGUGUAAAAUGUUCUGUGGAUUCAUAUGAUGAGAAUGCCAGUGUUGAUCUGUAUGACUUAAUUAAACACAGAUAUUGAUACCUUCAGAUAUGUACCUGUGAAAUCUUCAGUGUCACCGUUCAGCUAUUGUUCAAGAUCAGUGUCUGCAGCUUGCACAGUUUAGUAUAGAGGAGCCUUCUGAAUCAAUUUUGUUACAUAUUUGCUGUUAUUGUAGGACCACACAUGUAGAGAGCAACAAGUCCUGUCCAGCCGUGCAUGUAAAUGUGAUUCAGAAACUUUGAGAAUAUGUAAACAUUACACUGUUAUAAUUUUCAAAAUGCUGUGUCUUGCAGUGUAUCAAUACUGUUUUGUCUCAGUUUAUAGCACAGUAUGUUCACAAAUCAAACUUAAGACCAUAGUGAUCAGUAUUAUUAAAAUCAUUAAUUAUUUGUAUGGUGACAAAAUUUAAUUUCAUGCAAUACCACAGUAAAACGUUUGAUAAUUUUCACUUUAAAAGUUGUAAGUUUAAAGUUGGCAUAAAUUGUUUUUCUCCUUCAUAAAUCUAAAAAGUGAUUGGUCAUUAUAAUUGCAAUAUCAUUUUAGUAUGACAAAGUUUAUAUUGAACUAAAACACUAAUGUAAAUUUUUGAACUAGUCAAUGCAUUUUCUUCAGUCUUAAAACAUUUGUUUAUCGUACGUGUCAUGGCCCAUAACUCCUCCAUAUUACUUGUGUUUUGUCCUUUUUAGUUUUACUGAAGAAUAGGUACAGGCAUUGCACAUCCAUUUUAUAGCAUCCCUAUUUUGUAAAGUGUUGUAUGUAAGGUUUUAUCUCGGAAUUAUGUCUCAUCUAAAGGUGGGGAGAGGUAUUGUUUAUGCCUUCUCGUCUGUCCGCAUUAAGCCUGUCUGGCUUUAAGAGGACAAGCUGCUGGCCAGAUUUUGAUGAAACUUCACAAGACUGAUCAGUACCAAGCAUAGUGUUGUGCAUAUCGCUUGCAUGUUUCGUUUCGAUGCACUAAAUUGCAGCCAGAGCUAAAAAUAGAAAUAUCUUGUCGGCUUUCACAUGUCAAAACUACUUAACAUAUUUUGAUGAAACUUCACAGGAGUGAUCAGUACCAAGUAUAUUUUUGCAUAUCACCGACACUUUUCAUUUUGCUGCACAAAAUAGCUUCCAUACUAUUGCUAAAGGUAUACAUAGGUGGGAGACAUAUUUUGUCAUAAAAAUACCUAAAACACCUUCCACUUUCGUCUUUGUUAAUGAAAAAUGUAUCAAACUUCUUACAAUUACAAACUGUAAUAAUUUGACAUUAAAUGCACUAGUUCCAUAACCGCAUUUGGCUUUUUUUUCAUAAUUAUUGCCCUUUUCUUACCAUAGCAAUAUUUUGUGUAGCAUGUUACCUCAUUAAGCAUCAUAAGAUCUAUCAGAAAGUUCUAUGACUCAGAAAUGUUGGCCGUUUUGUACUUGUCAUGAGUAUCUUUUCAGUAUUUUAUAUUGUCAUUACUUUUUGUUGUGCCAGUUUACGGAAAUGAAGACUUAGUUGUCCAAAUGUGUGCCUGUGCCUGUCCUGAUUUGUUUGUCUGGACAAUAUAUUAUUGAUUAGUCUUCACGAAACUUUGCAGGUUAAUUUCCUUAAGUUCCCUGUCAACUUUGAUAGUGGCAUGGUUACUUCAGAAACACUAAAGUGAUGUCACCACUGUACUAGUCAAACGUUUUGUAUUUCAGAUUUUAUAUCACAUUACAGGCUAUUGGUCUUUAGCAGCCUUCAUAAAACUUUCAUAAAAGUUUCCAAAAAUGUUGUAUUUUGAUUUGAGCUGGCAUUAUUAUGUCUCCCCCAGGAGACGUAUUGUUUUUGCCCUGUCCGUCCGUCCGUCCGUCCGUACGUCACACUUCAUUUCCGAGCAAUAACUGGAGAACCAUUUGACCUAGAACCUUCAAACUUCAUAGGGUUGUAGGGCUGCUGGAGUAGACGACCCUAUUGUUUUUGGGGUCACUCCGUCAAAGGUCAAGGUCACAGGGGCCUGAACAUGGAAAACUAUUUCCGAUCAAUAACUAGAAAACCACCUGACCCAGAAUGUUGAAACUUCAUACGGUGAUUGGUUAUGAAGAGUAGAUGACCCCUAUCGAUUUUGGGGUCACUCCGUCAAAGGUCAAGGUCACAGGGGCCUGAACAUUGAAAACCAUUUCCGAUCAAUAACUAGAAAACCACUUGACCCAGAAUGUUGAAACUUCAUAGGAUGAUUGAUCAUGAAGAGUAGAUGACCCCUAUUGAUUUUGGGGUCACUCCGUCAAGGGUCAAGGUCACAGGGGCCUGAACAUUGAAAACCAUUUCCGAUCAAUAACUUGAGAACCAUUUGACCCAGAAUGAUGAAACUUAAUAGGAUGAUUGGUCAUAAAGAGUAGAUGACCCCUAUUGAUUUUGGGGUCACUCCGUCAAAGGGCAAGGUCACAGGGGCCUGAACAUUGAAAACCAUUUCCGAUCAGUAACUAGAGAACCACUUGACCCAGAAUGAUGAAACUUCAUAGGAUGAUUGGUCAUGCAGAGUAGAUGACCCCUAUCGAUUUUGGGGUCACUCCAUUAAAGGUCAAGGUCUCAGGGGCCUGAACAUUGAAAACCAUUUCCGGUCAGUAAGUUGAGAACCACUUGACCCAGAAUGUUGGAACUUAAUAGGAUGAUUGGUCAUGCAGAGUAGAUGACCCCUAAUGAUUUUGGGGUCACUCUGUGAAAGGUCAAGGUCACAGGGGCCUGAACAUUGAAAACAAUUUCCGGUCAGUAACUUGAGAACCACUUGACCCAGAAUGAUGAAACUUCAUAGAAUGAUUGGUCAUGCAGGGUAGAUGACCCCUAACGAUUUUUGGGUCACUCUGUUAAAGGUCAAGGCCACAGGGGCCUGAACAUGGAAAACCAUUUCCAAUCAGUAACUUGAGAACCUCUCGACCCAGAAUGUUGAAACUUCAUAGGAUGAUUGUUCAUGCAGAGUAAAUGACCCCUAUUGUUUUUGGGGUCACUCCGUUAAAGGUCAAGGUUACAGGGGCCUGAACAUUGAUAACCAAUUCCGAUCAAUAACUUGAGAACCACUUGACCCAGAAUGUUGAAACUUCAUAGGAUGAUUGAACAUGCAGAGUAGAUGACCCCUAUUGAUUUUGGGGUCAGUCUAUUGAAAGUCAAGGUCACAGUGGCCUGUUCAUGUAAAAUCAUUUUUUGGAAAUACCUUGAGAACCACUUGACCUACAAUGUUGAAACUUAAUAGGAUGAUUGGACAUGCAGAGUAGAUGACCCCUAUUUAUUUUGAGGUCACUUGAUCAAAGGUCAAGGACACAGGAGCCUGAACAGUGACUUGAGAACCACUAGGCCAAGAGUGUCGAAAUUUAGCGGGAUGACUGGACAUGCCAAAUAGAUGAUCCCUAUUGCAGCCAACCAUCAGUGUCUCUUUGACUUUCGCUCCUGACCUCUAUUGACUUCUUGCCUAUAGGACUUUGCAUUGGGGGAGACAUGCGCUUUUUUACAAAAGCAUUUUCUAGUUCAAACAUUAAGAAGUAGUACUAUAAGGCAACAUUUGACCUCUUUUCCAGUACUUUUUGAUUUUCUCUGUUACUAUGAAGUUGCCUUUUCCUAGAAAUUAGUUGGCUUAUUUUUGAUGAUCUUAUGUUUUUAAUGAAUUGUAGCUAUGUUCUUUAUCUCAUGAAAAUGUCCAUUUUUAUAUAAUUCAUAUUUUUUACUGUCAGCUAUGUGCAAUACCACAUACUUAUAUCACUUUCAUUAACAUACUUGUACUAUUUUCAUAAAACGUUAUAUAAAUCAAUAUAUUUCAUAUAAACAUAAUUAAAUAAAUAUUUAAGAACAUCAGUGUUUUCUUUGAUUGCUACAUGAAACAGACCAUAGGUCAAUUUAGGGUCAGUUCUGACACUUUAUAUGCAAAUUGAUAAGGGAGAUAACAAGUACUGUCUUAAGUAACCAAUAUUUUGUUACACAGUUACCUUCCCUUUACACAGGUAGGACUAUUUGUUGAUGAUCAUCUUUUGAACAUUAUUCCAUUUCUGAUGACAGAACAUUGAAAAUAAAAGUUGUUGUAUCAUGCAAUGACAUCGUAUAUGACAAUAUUUACUUUUUUAUUCCAUUUUUUAAAUAUUCUUUAAAUUAGGUACAAUGCCUACAAUCAUUGUUGUAUAUAGAAAUGUCAUUUAACUUAAAGCAAAUAUGCUUCCUAGAAACUCACUUAAAAGGAAAUUUGAUGUUAUAAUCAUUUAGAUUAUUCAUUUUUCUUUCUUUUCAUAUUAUCACACUAAUAUUUAUUAUAAUGAUCUUUUAUAUUUUAGUAGAAUUAUUGGCUUUUGUUCCCUAACAGUUCAGAGCUUCCAUAACACCACAGUAUUUUGUGUGAAGCUGGGUUCACAUUUAUUUGUGUGGAGUUCACAUAUCCUCACACUUUGGAGUGUGCACUUCCACAUUUAUUUUUGUGAAGUCUGGGAGGUAUAAAUACCCCACUCUGCCUGAAUUCAGGGUUCACAAUCUUAAAUCUAUGGCCUUGAACUGCUAUUAAUAGGCCUGGUCUAUAAUCUUAAAGAAAUAUUUAAAGAAGUCUAGCAAAUUUUAUAUAAAGAUGAUCUUACUAGGUGUGUUUUAUACCUGCUGUAUUUUAAUAUUAACUUUUGAUAAGCAUUUUUAAACUCUUAGCUAUACAAAACUGCUGUUUUUCAUAAUAGAUCAAUUUUAACUGUUGUCUAUUUUUGUAUUAGAAGCUUACUGACAGAACUUUAUCAGAUUUACAAGAGACUGAGCUCGAUUAUUAUUAUUAAUGAAUGAUAGUCCUUAUAGGUAAAAAUAUCAUAUUAUCACACUAUUCUUGAGAACUGUGAAUUAUUUACAGAAUUAUUGUGUGAAU